CAGUAGCCGCGGUAAUACGUAGGUGGCAAGCGUUGUCCGGAAUUAUUGGGCGUAAAGCGCGCGCAGGCGGAUUGGUCAGUCUGUCUUAAAAGUUCGGGGCUUAACCCCGUGAUGGGAUGGAAACCGCCAAUCUAGAGUAUCGGAGAGGAAAGUGGAAUUCCUAGUGUAGCGGUGAAAUGCGUAGAUAUUAGGAAGAACACCAGUGGCGAAGGCGACUUUCUGGACGAAAACUGACGCUGAGGCGCGAAAGCCAGGGGAGCGAACGGGAUUAGAUACCCCGGUAGUCCCUGUCUCUUAUACC
rnacentral:rRNA from 1 species